rnacentral:rRNA from 1 species
UAUGGUAAUUGUGGCAGCCGCGGUAAAACGUAGGUCACAAGCGUUGUCCGGAAUUACUGGGUGUAAAGGGAGCGCAGGCGGGAAGGCAAGUUGGAAGUGAAAUCCAUGGGCUCAACCCAUGAACUGCUUUCAAAACUGUUUUUCUUGAGUAGUGCAGAGGUAGGCGGAAUUCCCGGUGUAGCGGUGGAAUGCGUAGAUAUCGGGAGGAACACCAGUGGCGAAGGCGGCCUACUGGGCACCAACUGACGCUGAGGCUCGAAAGUGUGGGUAGCAAACAGG